GAUGAACGCUGGCGGCGUGCCUAAUGCAUGCAAGUCGAGCGAACGGACGAGAAGCUUGCUUCUCUGAUGUUAGCGGCGGACGGGUGAGUAACACGUGGAUAACCUACCUAUAAGACUGGGAUAACUUCGGGAAACCGGAGCUAAUACCGGAUAAUAUUUUGAACCGCAUGGUUCAAAAGUGAAAGACGGUCUUGCUGUCACUUAUAGAUGGAUCCGCGCUGCAUUAGCUAGUUGGUAAGGUAACGGCUUACCAAGGCAACGAUGCAUAGCCGACCUGAGGGGGUGAUCGGCCACACUGGAACUGAGACACGGUCCAGACUCCUACGGGAGGCAGCAGUAGGGAAUCUUCCGCAAUGGGCGAAAGCCUGACGGAGCAACGCCGCGUGAGUGAUGAAGGUCUUCGGAUCGUAAAACUCUGUUAUUAGGGAAGAACAUAUGUGUAAGUAACUGUGCACAUCUUGACGGUACCUAAUCAGAAAGCCACGGCUAACUACGUGCCAGCAGCCGCGGUAAUACGUAGGUGGCAAGCGUUAUCCGGAAUUAUUGGGCGUAAAGCGCGCGUAGGCGGUUUUUUAAGUCUGAUGUGAAAGCCCACGGCUCAACCGUGGAGGGUCAUUGGAAACUGGAAAACUUGAGUGCAGAAGAGGAAAGUGGAAUUCCAUGUGUAGCGGUGAAAUGCGCAGAGAUAUGGAGGACCACCAGUGGCGAAGGCGACUUUCUGGUCUGUAACUGACGCUGAUGUGCGAAAGCGUGGGGAUCAAACAGGAUUAGAUACCCUGGUAGUCCACGCCGUAAACGAUGAGUGCUAAGUGUUAGGGGGUUUCCGCCCCUUAGUGCUGCAGCUAACGCAUUAAGCACUCCGCCUGGGGAGUACGACCGCAAGGUUGAAACUCAAAGGAAUUGACGGGGACCCGCACAAGCGGUGGAGCAUGUGGUUUAAUUCGAAGCAACGCGAAGAACCUUACCAAAUCUUGGCAUCCUUUGACAACUCUAGAGAUAGAGCCUUCCCCUUCGGGGGACAAAGUGACAGGUGGUGCAUGGUUGUCGUCAGCUCGUGUCGUGAGAUGUUGGGUUAAGUCCCGCAACGAGCGCAACCCUUAAGCUUAGUUGCCAUCAUUAAGUUGGGCACUCUAAGUUGACUGCCGGUGACAAACCGGAGGAAGGUGGGGAUGACGUCAAAUCAUCAUGCCCCUUAUGAUUUGGGCUACACACGUGCUACAAUGGACAAUACAAAGGGCAGCGAAACCGCGAGGUCAAGCAAAUCCCAUAAAGUUGUUCUCAGUUCGGAUUGUAGUCUGCAACUCGACUACAUGAAGCUGGAAUCGCUAGUAAUCGUAGAUCAGCAUGCUACGGUGAAUACGUUCCCGGGUCU
rnacentral:rRNA from 1 species